rnacentral:rRNA from 1 species
UACGUAGGUGGCGAGCGUUGUCCGGAAUUACUGGGCGUAAAGCGUUCGUAGGCGGCUUUGUAAGUCAGAGGUGAAAGCCCACGACUCAAUCGUGGAACUGCCUUUGAGACUGCUUCGCUUGAAGAUGGGAGAGGUUAGUGGAAUUCCGAGUGUAGAGGUGAAAUUCGUAGAUAUUCGGAAGAACACCAGUGGCGAAGGCGGCUAACUGGACCAUUCUUGACGCUGAGGAACGAAAGCGUGGGGAGCAAACAGG